rnacentral:rRNA from 1 species
UUGGUGCUUGCACCGAGCGGAUGAGUUGCGAACGGGUGAGUAACGCGUAGGUAACCUGCCUCUUAGCGGGGGAUAACUAUUGGAAACGAUAGCUAAUACCGCAUAAAAGUCGAUAUCGCAUGAUAUUGAUUUGAAAGGUGCAAUUGCAUCACUAAGAGAUGGACCUGCGUUGUAUUAGCUAGUUGGUGAGGUAACGGCUCACCAAGGCGACGAUACAUAGCCGACCUGAGAGGGUGAUCGGCCACACUGGGACUGAGACACGGCCCAGACUCCUACGGGAGGCAGCAGUAGGGAAUCUUCGGCAAUGGGGGCAACCCUGACCGAGCAACGCCGCGUGAGUGAAGAAGGUUUUCGGAUCGUAAAGCUCUGUUGUAAGAGAAGAACGAGUGUGAGAGUGGAAAGUUCACACUGUGACGGUAACUUACCAGAAAGGGACGGCUAACUACGUGCCAGCAGCCGCGGUAAUACGUAGGUCCCGAGCGUUAUCCGGAUUUAUUGGGCGUAAAGCGAGCGCAGGCGGUUAGAUAAGUCUGAAGUUAAAGGCUGUGGCUUAACCAUAGUACGCUUUGGAAACUGUUUAACUUGAGUGCAGAAGGGGAGAGUGGAAUUCCAUGUGUAGCGGUGAAAUGCGUAGAUAUAUGGAGGAACACCGGUGGCGA